rnacentral:rRNA from 1 species
UGGGGAAUCUUCCGCAAUGGACGAAAGUCUGACGGAGCAACGCCGCGUGAGUGAAGAAGGCCUUCGGGUCGUAAAGCUCUGUUAUUAGGGACGAAUGUUCUAUGUGUAAAUAAUGCAUAGAAGUGACGGUACCUAAGGAGGAAGCCACGGCUAACUACGUGCCAGCAGCCGCGGUAAUACGUAGGUGGCAAGCGUUGUCCGGAAUUAUUGGGCGUAAAGCGCGCGCAGGUGGGCUAGUAAGUCUCAUGUAAAAGUGCGGGGCUCAACCCCGUAAAGCGUGAGAAACUGCUAAUCUUGAGUGCCGGAGAGGAAAGCGGAAUUCCCAGUGUAGCGGUGAAAUGCGUAGAUAUUGGGAGGAACACCAGUGGCGAAGGCGGCUUUCUGGACGGUGUCUGACACUGAGGCGCGAAAGCCAGGGGAGCGAACG